UAGCUGAGUAGUAUUCAAUUGUGUU
rnacentral:misc_RNA from 1 species